UUAAUGACUCUCGGCAACGGAUAUCUCGGCUCUUGCAUCGAUGAAGAACGUWGCGAAAUGCGAUACUUGGUGUGAAUUGCAGAAUCCCGCGAACCAUCAAUUCUUUGAACGCAAGUUGCGCCCGAAGCCAUUCGGCCGAGGGCACGCCUGCCUGGGUGUCGUGA
rnacentral:rRNA from 1 species